rfam:Aedes aegypti strain Liverpool supercont1.180 genomic scaffold, whole genome shotgun sequence.
UGCCCAGCAACUCCUAUCCCUACCUCCUCGUGGUACUGGCCGGGGUACGAGUAACAUUUGGGAAGAUCGGGUAACCAACCCCGAACUUUGGUCGUAUGCUGACAGGGAAGG